GUUUUAAGAACAGCAGCACCUACACUAAAAUUGGAAUGAUACAGAGAAGAUAAGAAUAGCUCCUGAGUGAGGAUGACAUGUAAAUUUGAAAAGAGUUCCAUAUUUCU
ensembl:snRNA U6 U6 spliceosomal RNA